CCCUGUAUCGAAAGUGAUCAUGGCGUCUCUGUUGCCAGGUCAUUGAUAGUACAGGAAGAUAAAGCUGCGAGCCUUUCCCUGUGUUUGCUGGAAUAUCAGUUCCUGUUGAACCCUGGCGCUCUCAAACA